AAUGAACGCUGACAGAAUGCUUAACACAUGCAAGUCAACUUGAAUUUGGGUUUUUAACUUAGAUUUGGGUGGCGGACGGGUGAGUAACGCGUAAAGAACUUGCCUCACAGCUAGGGACAACAUUUAGAAAUGAAUGCUAAUACCUGAUAUUAUGAUUUUAGGGCAUCCUAGGAUUAUGAAAGCUAUAUGCACUGUGAGAGAGCUUUGCGUCCCAUUAGCUAGUUGGAGAGGUAACGGCUCACCAAGGCGAUGAUGGGUAGCCGGCCUGAGAGGGUGAUCGGCCACAAGGGGACUGAGACACGGCCCUUACUCCUACGGGAGGCAGCAGUGGGGAAUAUUGGACAAUGGACCAAGAGUCUGAUCCAGCAAUUCUGUGUGCACGAUGAAGUUUUUCGGAAUGUAAAGUGCUUUCAGUUGGGAAGAAAAAAAUGACGGUACCAACAGAAGAAGUGACGGCUAAAUACGUGCCAGCAGCCGCGGUAAUACGUAUGUCACAAGCGUUAUCCGGAUUUAUUGGGCGUAAAGCGCGUCUAGGUGGUUAUGUAAGUCUGAUGUGAAAAUGCAGGGCUCAACUCUGUAUUGCGUUGGAAACUGUGUAACUAGAGUACUGGAGAGGUAAGCGGAACUACAAGUGUAGAGGUGAAAUUCGUAGAUAUUUGUAGGAAUGCCGAUGGGGAAGCCAGCUUACUGGACAGAUACUGACGCUGAAGCGCGAAAGCGUGGGUAGCAAACAGG
rnacentral:rRNA from 1 species